rnacentral:rRNA from 1 species
UGGGGAAUUUUGGACAAUGGGGGAAACCCUGAUCCAGCCAUCCCGCGUGUGCGAUGAAGGCCUUCGGGUUGUAAAGCACUUUUGGCAGGAAAGAAACGUCGCGGGUUAAUACCCCGCGAAACUGACGGUACCUGCAGAAUAAGCACCGGCUAACUACGUGCCAGCAGCCGCGGUAAUACGUAGGGUGCAAGCGUUAAUCGGAAUUACUGGGCGUAAAGCGUGCGCAGGCGGUUCGGAAAGAAAGAUGUGAAAUCCCAGAGCUUAACUUUGGAACUGCAUUUUUAACUACCGGGCUAGAGUGUGUCAGAGGGAGGUGGAAUUCCGCGUGUAGCAGUGAAAUGCGUAGAUAUGCGGAGGAACACCGAUGGCGAAGGCAGCCUCCUGGGAUAACACUGACGCUCAUGCACGAAAGCGUGGGGAGCAAACAGGAUUAGAUACCCUGGUAGUCCACGCCCUAAACGAUGUCAACUAGCUGUUGGGGCUUCGGGCCUUGGUAGCGCAGCUAACGCGUGAAGUUGACCGCCUGGGGAGUACGGUCGC